rnacentral:rRNA from 1 species
AGGGAAUAUUGCAAAAUGGGCGAAAGCCCGAUGCAGCAACGCCGCGUGGGCGAUGAAGGCCUUCGGGUCGUAAAGCCCUUUUUGAGGGGAUGAGGAAGGACAGUACCCUCAGAAUAAGCCUCGGCUAACUACGUGCCAGCAGCCGCGGUAAAACGUAGGAGGCGAGCGUUAUCCGGAUUUACUGGGCGUAAAGCGCGUGCAGGCGGAUUGGAGAGUUGGAUGUGAAAGCUCCCGGCUUGACUGGGAGAGGUCGUUCAAUACUUCCAGUCUUGAGUGCAGUAGAGGGAAGUGGAAUUCCGGGUGUAGUGGUGAAAUGCGUAGAUAUCCGGAGGAACACCAGUGACGAAAGCGGCUUCCUGGACUGUAACUGACGCUCAGACGCGAAAGCUAGGGUAGCAAACG